UACAUGUGGGGCAAGCGUUGUUCGGAAUUACUGGGCAUAAAGGGUGCGUAGGUGGUUUGUUAAGUCACGGGUGAAAGUUUUCGGCCCAACCGGAAAAUUGCCCGUGAUACUGGCGAACUUGAGUGCGUGAGGGGUAACCGGAACGAGCAGUGUAGCGGUGAAAUGCGUAGAUAUUGCUCGGAAGGCCAGAGGCGAAGGCGGGUUACUGGUGCGCAACUGACACUGGGGCACGAAAGCGUGGGGAGCAAACAGG
rnacentral:rRNA from 1 species